rnacentral:misc_RNA from 1 species
GCAAACUUGGUCAUUUAGAGGAAGUAAAAGUCGUAACAAGGUUUCCGUAGGUGAACCUGCGGAAGGAUCAUUACAAUAGGACGCCCGCCCUGGCUUCGGCCAGGAUCCGGGUCCCUUUCCUGGAGAAAUCCAGCUACCCUGUAUUUUGAGCACCUUUGUUUCCUCGGCGGCUUCGGCCGCCAGCGAGGACCCCUUAAAACCUUUGUAAUAAGCAGUAUCUGUCAGUAAAAUGAAAAUUAUCACAACUUUCAACAAUGGAUCUCUUGGCUCUGGCAUCGAUGAAGAACGCAGC